rnacentral:rRNA from 1 species
AAACCGGACGGGAAGUGGGAGUGACGUCAAGUCCUCAUGGCCCUUAUGGUAGGGCUUCACACGUCCUACAGUGGCCGUUACAAUGGGAAGCUACAUCGCGAGGUGAUGCCAAUCCUGUAAAAGCGGCCAUGGUUCGGAUUGCAGGCUGCAACUCGCCUGCAUGAAGAUGGAAUCGCUAGUAAUCACUGAUCAGCAUGCAGUGGUGAAUACGUUCCCGGGUCCUU